GAUGAACGCUGGCGGCGUGCCUAAUACAUGCAAGUCGAGCGAACGGACGAGAAGCUUGCUUUUCUGAUGUUAGCGGCGGACGGGUGAGUAACACGUGGAUAACCUACCUAUAAGACUGGGAUAACUUCGGGAAACCGGAGCUAAUACCGGAUAAUAUUUUGCACCGCAUGGUUCAAAAGUGAAAGACGGUCUUGCUGUCACUUAUAGAUGGAUCCGCGCUGCAUUAGCUAGUUGGUAAGGUAACGGCUUACCAAGGCAACGAUGCAUAGCCGACCUGAGAGGGUGAUCGGCCACACUGGAACUGAGACGCGGUCCAGACUCCUGCGGGAGGCAGCAGUAGGGAAUCUUCCGCAAUGGGCGAAAGCCUGACGGAGCAACGCCGCGUGAGUGAUGAAGGUCUUCGGAUCGUAAAACUCUGUUAUUAGGGAAGAACAUAUGUGUAAGUAACUGUGCACAUCUUGACGGUACCUAAUCAGAAAGCCACGGCUAACUACGUG
rnacentral:rRNA from 1 species